GUUUAUGGUCAUAUCUACCUGAACAUGCCCAAUCUCAUCUGAUCUUGAUAGCUAAGUAGGAUCAGGCCUGGUUAGUACUUGGAUGGGAGACCACUUGGGAAUACUGGGAGCUAUAGGCU
rnacentral:rRNA from 1 species